rnacentral:ncRNA from 1 species
UAUGCUCUCCAUCUUCUAGCUGCGCGGGGACCUGAAAAGGAGGAAAAAAGAACCGUUGCGGCUUACGGUACGGCAGUGUGGAGACCUGUCGCAAUGCACCGCCGUCCUUGCGGCGGGGUGCGAGGCAAUGCGCGCGGAGGCGGCAUGGCCAAAGCCGGAGAAAGAUGGCA